CCUACGGGGGGCUGCAGUGGGGAAUAUUGGACAAUGGGCGGAAGCCUGAUCCAGCAAUACCGCGUGUGUGAAGAAGGCCUGAGGGUUGUAAAGCACUUUCAAUAGGAAGGAAUACCUAUCCAUUAAUACUGGGUAGACUGACAUUACCUAUACAAGAAGCACCGGCUAACUCCGUGCCAGCAGCCGCGGUAAUACGGAGGGUGCAAUAGUUAAUCGGAAUUGCUGGGCGUAGAGCCGGCGAGUCAGACUCGAAAGCCCCGGGCUUAACCUGGGAAUGGCAUUUGAUACUGGCGUGCUAGAGUUGAGUAGAGGGGAGUGGAAUUUCAGGUGUAGCGGUGAAAUGCGUAGAGAUCUGAAGGAACACCAGUGGCGAAGGCGACUCCCUGGACUCAAACUGACGCUGAGGUACGAAAGCGUGGGUAGCAAACAGGAUUAGAUACCCGUGUAGUC
rnacentral:rRNA from 1 species